CGGUCGUACUGCAAACGCCUUCGGUCCGGCGUUAGACAAAACCAAAGGAUGAAGAACCAAGCGAUUCAACCUCUUACAUGUCAAGAGGAGAUUGAGGAGGUCGGAAGGGGAGGAGGCGGAGGAGGCGAGGCGGCAGAGGAGGUGUAUAAGGAGAUCGUCCGGCAAGACAUCGAAGAGAUCGGAUUCUGCGGCGAAUUUGCGGCAUGUUCUUGGCCUCUUGGCACAAAUCAUCUUGAAGAGUUUCGUGAUUACAUGCGUCGAG
rnacentral:misc_RNA from 1 species